rnacentral:rRNA from 1 species
AUUGAACGCUGGCGGCAGGCCUAACACAUGCAAGUCGAGCGAGCGGCGGACGGGUGAGUAAGGUCUGGGAAACUGCCUGAUGGAGGGGGAUAACUACUGGAAACGGUAGCUAAGACCGCAUACCAUCAGAUGUGCCCAGAGGGGAUUAGCUAGUAGGUGGGGUAACGGGCCACCUAGGCGACGAGCCCUAGCGGGUCUACGAGGAUGACCAGCCACACUGGAACUGAGACCCGGCCCAGACUCCUACGGGAGGCAGCAGUGGGGAAGAUUGCAACAUGGGCGCAAGCCUGAUGCAGCCAUGCCGCGUGUAUGAAGAAGGCCUUCGGGUUGUAAAGCACUUUCAGCGGGGAGGCGUUACCCGCAGAAGAAGCACCGGCGAACUCCGUGCCAGCAGCCGCGGUAAUAC